rnacentral:rRNA from 1 species
CUUUCAGCAACGGAUCUCUUGGCUCUCGCAUCGAUGAAGAACGCAGCGAAAUGCGAUAAGUAAUGUGAAUUGCAGAAUUCAGUGAAUCAUCGAAUCUUUGAACGCACCUUGCACUCCUUGGUAUUCCGAGGAGUAUGCCUGUUUGAGUCUCAUGGAAUUCUCAACCCCUAAAUUUUGUAAUGAAGUUUAGUGGG